rnacentral:tRNA from 1 species
GCGGAUGUGGCGGAAUUGGUAGACGCGCUAGAUUUAGGUUCUAGUAUCACUGAUGUAAGAGUUCGAGUCUCUUCAUCCGCA